rnacentral:rRNA from 1 species
GACGAACCGAGCGAACGUUGUUCGGAAUAACUGGGCUUAAAGGGCGCGUAGGCGGGCCGCCAAGUCCGAGGUGAAAUCCUCCGGCUCAACCGGAGAACUGCCUCGGAUACUGGAGGUCUCGAGGGUGGUAGGGGCACGCGGAACUGUGGGUGGAGCGGUGAAAUGCGUAGAUAUCGGGAGGAACACCAGUGGCGAAGGCGACUACCUGGCCUGUUCUUGACGCUGAGGCGCGAAAGCUAGGGGAGCAAACGGG